rnacentral:rRNA from 1 species
GACGAACGCUGGCGGCGUGCUUAACACAUGCAAGUCGAACGGAAAGGCCCUGCUUUUGUGGGGUGCUCGAGUGGCGAACGGGUGAGUAACACGUGAGUAACCUGCCCUUGACUUUGGGAUAACUUCAGGAAACUGGGGCUAAUACCGGAUAGGAGCUCCUGCUGCAUGGUGGGGGUUGGAAAGUUUCGGCGGUUGGGGAUGGACUCGCGGCUUAUCAGCUUGUUGGUGUGGUAGUGGCUUACCAAGGCUUUGACGGGUAGCCGGCCUGAGAGGGUGACCGGCCACAUUGGGACUGAGAUACGGCCCAGACUCCUACGGGAGGCAGCAGUGGAGAAUAUUGCACUAGGGGCGGAAGCCUGAUGCAGCAACGCCACGUGCGGGAUGACGGCCUUCGGUUUGUAAACCGCUUUCGCCUGUGACGAAGCGUGAGUGACGGUAAUGGGUAAAGAAGCACCGGCUAACUACGUG